ACGGAGGGUACGAACGUUAAUCGGAAUUACUGGGCGUAAAGCGCGCGUAGGUGGUUUGUUAAGUGGGAUGUGAAAGCCCUGGGCUCAACCUGGGAACUGCAUUCCAAACUGACGAACUAGAGUACGGUAGAGGGGGGUAGAAUUCAGAGUGUAGCGGUGAAAUGCGUAGAUAUUCUGAGGAAUACCAGUGGCGAAGGCGGCCCCCUGGAUUGAUACUGACACUGAUGAGCGAAAGCGUGGGGAGCAAACAGG
rnacentral:rRNA from 1 species